rnacentral:rRNA from 1 species
UACAGAGGGGGCAAGCGUUGUUCGGAAUUACUGGGCGUAAAGGGCGCGUAGGCGGCCUGCUAAGUCGAACGUGAAAUCCCCGGGCUCAACCCGGGAACUGCGUCCGAUACUGGCAGGCUUGAAUCCGGGAGAGGGAUGUGGAAUUCCAGGUGUAGCGGUGAAAUGCGUAGAUAUCUGGAGGAACACCGGUGGCGAAGGCGGCGCUCUGGGCCGGAACUGACGCUGAGGAGCGAAAGCGUGGGUAGCAAACAGG